rnacentral:rRNA from 1 species
AGCAUCAGGUAACAUCAAAUCGUACCCCAAACCGACACAGGUGGUCAGGUAGAGAAUACCAAGGCGCUUGAGAGAACUCGGGUGAAGGAACUAGGCAAAAUGGUGCCGUAACUUCGGGAGAAGGCACGCUGAUAUGUAGGUGAAGUCCCUCGCGGAUGGAGCUGAAAUCAGUCGAAGAUACCAGCUGGCUGCAACUGUUUAUUAAAAACACAGCACUGUGCAAACACGAAAGUGGACGUAUACGGUGUGACGCCUGCCCGGUGCCGGAAGGUUAAUUGAUGGGGUUAGCGCAAGCGAAGCUCUUGAUCGAAGCCCCGGUAAACGGCGGCCGUAACUAUAACGGUCCUAAGGUAGCGAAAUUCCUUGUCGGGUAAGUUCCGACCUGCACGAAUGGCGUAAUGAUGGCCAGGCUGUCUCCACCCGAGACUCAGUGAAAUUGAACUCGCUGUGAAGAUGCAGUGUACCCGCGGCAAGACGGAAAGACCCCGUGAACCUUUACUAUAGCUUGACACUGAACAUUGAGCCUUGAUGUGUAGGAUAGGUGGGAGGCUUUGAAGUGUGGACGCCAGUCUGCAUGGAGCCGACCUUGAAAUACCACCCUUUAAUGUUUGAUGUUCUAACGUUGACCCGUAAUCCGGGUUGCGGACAGUGUCUGGUGGGUAGUUUGACUGGGGCGGUCUCCUCCUAAAGAGUAACGGAGGAGCACGAAGGUUGGCUAAUCCUGGUCGGACAUCAGGAGGUUAGUGCAAUGGCAUAAGCCAGCUUGACUGCGAGCGUGACGGCGCGAGCAGGUGCGAAAGCAGGUCAUAGUGAUCCGGUGGUUCUGAAUGGAAGGGCCAUCGCUCAACGGAUAAAAGGUACUCCGGGGAUAACAGGCUGAUACCGCCCAAGAGUUCAUAUCGACGGCGGUGUUUGGCACCUCGAUGUCGGCUCAUCACAUCCUGGGGCUGAAGUAGGUCCCAAGGGUAUGGCUGUUCGCCAUUUAAAGUGGUACGCGAGCUGGGUUUAGAACGUCGUGAGACAGUUCGGUCCCUAUCUGCCGUGGGCGCUGGAGAACUGAGGGGGGCUGCUCCUAGUACGAGAGGACCGGAGUGGACGCAUCACUGGUGUUCGGGUUGUCAUGCCAAUGGCACUGCCCGGUAGCUAAAUGCGGAAGAGAUAAGUGCUGAAAGCAUCUAAGCACGAAACUUGCCCCGAGAUGAGUUCUCCCUGACUCCUUGAGAGUCCUGAAGGAACGUUGAAGACGACGACGUUGAUAGGCCGGGUGUGUAAGCGCAGCGAUGCGUUGAGCUAACCGGUACUAAUGAACCGUGAGGCUUAACCUUACAACGCC